AUUGCUUCUUGGUCUUUUGGCUAAGAUCAAGUAUAGUAUCUGUUCUUGUCAGCUUAAUAACUUGGGAAUUGGUUUUAAAAAUCCUAUUUUUGAGUGUUUAAGUCAAAUAGGAGAGCUGAGAGAGAGAUACUCAGUUUACUAACCAGUCUGGGGCUGUUUAAAGACCUUUGGAGGACCAACAAGA
ensembl:snRNA U2 U2 spliceosomal RNA